GUGAACUGUUGCUGAAUUUCUUACCAAGAAUUAUGAUUGGGUUAGUUGUUGGUGUGAUAAAUGGGUGUUUCCAAAGUUAUUAUGUCACCUUUAUUAAUAAAAUCUGUAAUACCUCUUAUCAUCUUUAGAAGCUUUGGUUGGUCGGAUUCGGAAAUACUUACAAUGACUAAAGCUUUACCUUUCUGCUUGAGAAGUUCGGAGGCUCGACUUCAGCUUUCUUUGAAUUUUUUCAUGAAUGAGCUGGGUUAUACGCCUGCGUAUUUGGCAACUCACUCUAAGUUAUUAGUUUACAGAAAUUUUUAAAAGAUUUUGUGUUGCCGUAUCGUGAAUUUGUACCUCAUCUGUUUGAAGCUUACACCAAAGCUACUGGUCAUCCAGUGACUUGAUUUUCAAUAUCUGGUAAUGAUCAUUUAAACUUAGUAUGAUUGUGUAUACUUUCUUGAUAUUGCAAUACUUAUCCGUUAUUAGAAUAACCGUUGUAUUGCUACAUCUUAUUGUUAGUUUACAGUUUGGAGAAGCGGGUUAUGCCAAGAACUCACCCUAAGUUAUUAGUUUACAGUUUGGAGAAGCGGGUUAUGCCAAGAACUCAAGUGUUAAACGUUUUGAAAGAGAACAAGUUGUUGAAGAAGAAUUUUUAAUUUUGCUAAUUUUGGGCUGAUGGUUGAUUGUGUUGAUGAACAGAAUGAUGGAGGGAGAAUAACUCAAGCAACUCAUGCUCCCACUGGGUUGACUUAUCAGCUGACGUCAGGCGGACACGAAUAAGUGAAAGAAGGAGGAAGCUGUAAGAUCUUGUCCCAAAUAUGGAUAAGUAAACGAGAACCACAGACAUGUUGGAUUUGGCUGUUGAGUAUAUCAAAGAACUUCAUAAUCAAGUUGAGCUUAAAACCGAUCCAGUUCGAUGUCGAAAGCGGUGCAAUGAAGCUGUUCGAUGUCAAAAACAGUACAAUGUCGUAAGCAUUGGAGAAGUGGAUUUUGAAGUUGAGUUCGAUGUCGAAAGCGGUGCAAUGAAUCUGUUCGAUGUCAAAAACAGUACAAUGUCCUAAGCAGUGGAGAAGUGGAUUUUGAAGUUGAGAUAAAUGAGUCUGAAGUGGCAUUGCUCUCUUUACUGAAAAGUGACGAUGAUCUCAGGGUUACAGAAUCUUUUUCGUCACUUAAUGAUAAAGUUCUUGCGGCUGCAGUAGAAGCUGUGUUAGCAGUUCUCAUAAUCAAAAGAAAAACAGGUUGAAACUCUGUCUAAUUACUAAGUGAUAGUACUUAGAGGUUUUCAGUAUGAUCAGUGACUAUGUUAAAAUGUUAAUAAUGAUUAGUGAUCUUGCGAUACGUUUUUGUUGAUACAGGGUAUCCUCGGUGCGCUUGUGAAUAUUCUUAAAGGAUUUAAAGGAGGAAAACCUAAUAACAACAUCAACGUUUCUGAAGAUUUUAAAUAUGGUUUUAGCAAUCCGGAUGGAAUCUUUUCAAAGAAUCCGUUUCCCGAUCCACUUGAAAGUUUCUGAAGAUUUUAAAUAUGGUUUUAGCAAUCUGGAUGAAGACGUGUGAUGUUAUUCCUUUUUACACUGGUUUUUAUGAUCUUUUCUAUUUGCUUCAUUUUUUUGUUCUUAUUUGGGAUGAAAUUACAUGUGGAUAUUGCAUUAUCUCUUCAUGUUAUACAGGUUCAAGAGAAGAAAAUUAAGAAAAUUGCAAGCAUGAACAUGGACCCUUCAAAAGUUGCUGGAAAGAACAAUAUUGCCAGUUCAAGUGA